rnacentral:rRNA from 1 species
GCAACCUACCUUUAUCAGGGGGAUAGCCCGGAGAAAUCCGGAUUAACACCGCAUAAAAUCACAGCAUAGCAUUAUGUAAUGAUCAAAUAUUUAUAGGAUAAAGAUGGGCAUGCGUGUCAUUAGCUAGUUGGCGGGGUAACGGCCCACCAAGGCGACGAUGACUAGGGGAUCUGAGAGGAUGACCC